rfam:Schistosoma mattheei strain Denwood, Zambia genome assembly, scaffold: SMTD_scaffold0000840
AUUCAGCUGAAUUGUCCCAAAUAGGACAAAACACGUGUCCUAGAU